GACGAACGCUGGCGGCGUGCUUAACACAUGCAAGUCGAACGAAGAGCGACGGAAGCUUGCUUCUCUCAAUCUUAGUGGCGAACGGGUGAGUAACGCGUAAUCAACCUGCCCUUCAGAGGGGGACAACAGUUGGAAACGACUGCUAAUACCGCAUACGAUCUAACCUCGGCAUCGAGGAUAGAUGAAAGGUGGCCUCUACAUGUAAGCUAUCACUGAAGGAGGGGAUUGCGUCUGAUUAGCUAGUUGGAGGGGUAACGGCCCACCAAGGCGAUGAUCAGUAGCCGGUCUGAGAGGAUGAACGGCCACAUUGGGACUGAGACACGGCCCAGACUCCUACGGGAGGCAGCAGUGGGGAAUCUUCCGCAAUGGACGAAAGUCUGACGGAGCAACGCCGCGGGAGUGAGGACGGCCUUCGGGUUGUAAAGCUCUGUUAAUCGGGACGAAAGGCCUUCUUGCGAAUAGGGAGAAGGAUUGACGGUACCGGAAGAGAAAGCCACGGCUAACUACGUG
rnacentral:rRNA from 1 species